rnacentral:rRNA from 1 species
AGUGAACGCUGGCGGUAGGCCUAACACAUGCAAGUCGAACGGCAGCACAGUAAGAGCUUGCUCUUACGGGUGGCGAGUGGCGGACGGGUGAGGAAUACAUCGUAAUCUACUUUUUCGUGGGGGAUAACGUAGGGAAACUUACGCUAAUACCGCAUACGACCUACGGUUGAAAGCAGUGGAUCUUCGGACCUUGCGCGAAUGAAUGAGCCGAUGUCGGAUUAGCUAGUUGGCGGGGUAAAGGCCCACCAAGGCGACGAUCCGUAGCUGGUCUGAGAGGAUGAUCAGCCACACUGGAACUGAGACACGGUCCAGACUCCUACGGGAGGCAGCAGUGGGGAAUAUUGGACAAUGGGCGCAAGCCUGAUCCAGCCAUACCGCGUGGGUGAAGAAGGCCUUCGGGUUGUAAAGCCCUUUUGUUGGGAAAGAAAAGCAGCAGGUUAAUACCCCGCUGUUCUGACGGUACCCAAAGAAUAAGCACCGGCUAACUUCGUG